UCCGGUUUGGCACCGGCAGUCUCCCACGAGUCCCCGGCAUCACCCGCUGGCAACAUGGAACAAGGGUUGCGCUCGUUGCGGGACUUAACCCAACAUCUCACGACACGAGCUGACGACAACCAUGCACCACCUGUCACUCUGUCCCCCGAAGGGGAAAGUCCUAUCUCUAGGAUUGUCAGAGGAUGUCAAGACCUGGUAAGGUUCUUCGCGUUGCUUCGAAUUAAACCACAUGCUCCGCUGCUUGUGCGGGCCCCCGUCAAUUCCUUUGAGUUUUAAUCUUGCGACCGUACUCCCCAGGCGGGGCACUUAAUGCGUUAGCUGCGGCACCCAGGGGGUCAAUACCCCGGACACCUAGUGCCCAUCGUUUAAGGCGUGGACUAC
rnacentral:misc_RNA from 1 species